AUGAACUCAUUGCUGGAUCCGCCCGUCGGUGGCAAAAAGAACUUGUCACCGGAGCACGACGGUGGCGAAGAAGGCCAGCACGGCGACAGCGCUGGCGGCGGAGCAGCACAGGUCAACGAGCACCUCUCUUCGCGCCUUGCUCUCCUUCCUCCCCUUCUUGCUCUUGACGAACACCUCGUACCUCGCCUUGGCCUCCUCCCGCUCUCUCUCGCCUCCCCUCCUCCGCCCCUCCAUUGCCGCGGCGAGCAGCCGGAGGGCGCCCUCGCCGCUCACCGCCGCGCCGUCGGCGUUCUCCACAGCGAGGCUGACCUCGCUGACGUGCCCGGCCUCCUCGGAGCAGGCCACGGUGGUCUCGAAGUUGCACCCUCCCAGCACCACCGCGAACCGCACCAGCAUCUCGCCGGUGUACCAGUGCCGGCCCAGGGCCACCGCCCGCCUGCUCGACACGUUCACCGCCCGGCCGCGGGCGGGGUCGACGACCACCCAGCUCAGCUCGAACUCCGCCGGGGAGAACGCCGCCGCCACCGGCGCCGGCUUCUUGCAGUCCACGGCCUCGACGCGGAACGGCGAGCUGAGGAACCACGGCGACGACGCGGGCGUCUCCACGACGCGGUACAGCACGGGCUCGCCCCUGUAGUACACGUCCACCGCGGAGACGAGCCUCGCGGGGAGGCCGCCGGCGCCGGGCUCCCCGGCGUCCGGGCAAGGGAAAGGGGACGCGUCGGCGAAGAGGCGGCGCGGCGGCACCGCGGAGAGGAGCCAGUGCUGGGCCGCGAGGGACGGCCACUCGGCGAGGCAAAGCGCGCGCCACGUGUCCGGGUCCGCGGCGAGCGCGCGGAGCCCCGCCGUGGCGCAGCUCGCGGCGGCCAGCGAGCGGCCGUCGAGGCGGCGCAGCGCGCAGGCCAGCACGUCCGCGUGCAGGUCCUCGAUCGUAGCCACCAUGUCGUUUCGUGCGGCUCCUGGAGAAGUGGAGAUCGGCGAUGGGAACUUUGA
rnacentral:rRNA from 1 species